UGGGGAAUAUUGCACAAUGGGGGAAACCCUGAUGCAGCGACGCCGCGUGAUUUAGAAGGCCUUCGGGUUGUAAAAAUCUUUUCUAUGGGAAGAAAAUGACAGUACCAUAGGAAUAAGGACCGGCUAAUUACGUGCCAGCAGCCGCGGUAAUACGUAAGGUCCGAGCGUUGUCCGGAAUCAUUGGGCGUAAAGGGUACGUAGGCGGGUAAGCAAGUUAGAAGUGAAAUCCUGUAGCUCAACUACAGUAAGCUUUUAAAACUGCUCAUCUUGAGAUAUGGAAGGGAAAGUGGAAUUCCUAGUGUAGCGGUGAAAUGCGCAGAUAUUAGGAGGAAUACCGGUGGCGAAGGCGACUUUCUGGCCAUAAUCUGACGCUGAGGUACGAAAGCGUGGGUAGCAAACAGG
rnacentral:rRNA from 1 species